CAGGAAGUGACGUCAUACCUCAAGGUGAAGGCAGGCCGGUCGUUUUUUUGAAUUGAUUCCGAUUCCCCUUACUUCACGUUUCUGAAGGAGCACAGAAUCCACGGCUACAUUUGCAGAGGCGCGACCUCCGAACCACCUGCUGAUGUUUCUUUCCGGAGUUAAAAAUGUUUCUACCUCACACACAUUCAAGGGUGCAUCACGCCUCCGAACCAUCAGCUCCUCACCACCUUUCCAAUUUUACAAAUAUUUCUACCUUACACAUAUUUAAGAUAAGUUCAUAUUCUAUAAAUAGACAUUCUAAACCCUUCUAGAAAUCAGUUUCAUAUCACUUCAAUCAUUUCAUGACCCACCAUGCUGUCCAUGCAUUUCGCUGAGUGACCCAUUUCCAGUGGUGGGCAGUAUCGCAGAUACAUGUAUCUUCGAUACAAUCUUUCGGUACAUUUUGUGUAUCGGUAUUAGGUAUCGCAUGCCAAAAAUGAGAGUAUCGGAGUAUCGGUAUCGAAAAUACAUUUUUAGUGUAUCGUGUAUUUUAACGAUACUCGAUACUAAAAAAAGAUGCAAAUAUUGAGGCUGUUGUGAGACUUAGGGUCGGCGGCGCUCGCUCAGGCGGUAGUACAAGUCAGGCCGCAGCGGCGUAGACACGUCGACCAGAAAUUCGUUUGAAGCUUACGUCCGCGCGCGCGCGCUCCAUCGUCAAGGUCGCCCGGAGAGGAGGCCCUGGGCCCUGCCCUGGGACACGCUUGUGGGCGCAUGCGGCUUCUAGUUGGUUCGAGAAGAAUCUCUUCCGUCUCUUUCUACGGCGGACGCGCCGAAAACGCCUUACACAGGACCAACCUCACGGCUUCUGGAACUGCGCUGCCCGAUGUCCCCCUCCUCAGUGCGCAAGAGCACGUCCACUUGACCUGAAGUGUGGAUUCCGCGUCUGCCAUGCGAAAAGAAUAACUGCCGGCUUAGCUUGAGCACCGUAACCUGUUCUACAGCUCACAAUUCACAACGGCCAACUAAGAAAAUCAAGUCAGAGGCAAAGUCAGAGGCUACCGAGUAAGUACUGCAGUACCAAACGAUAAAAGCAGGAGAAAAAAAGUUUCAGGUUUAUUCGUAUGUAUUGUCAAGUGCUCACAGACAGAUACGCACGAAGAACAUUGUCUUAAAGAAUUGUUUUUUGCUAGGCUGCUUAUUGAUGCGAUCGUUUCAACGUACCCAUGGCUUCAGUUUAAAGUUCUAACAAGACUAGCUGCUUAGACAGUGCAGCUUCAUUAAAUCCAUGCGGUCGGAUACGUUCAAGCCCUGUCAGAAAAAGUGCGCUAUAAAAAUACACUAAAGGCUCUAGAAAUAACGAAUAAAUGUUUUUACUUCCCUAAUCAUAUUACCAGCUUUAUUAUAUUGUUAUUUCAGUGAUGUAAACUUCAUGAAUCAUAACACCAGCUUUAUUAUAUUGUGAUUUCAGUAAUAUAAACUUCGCUAAUCAUAACACCAGCUGUAUUAUAUUCGGGAUUUCAGUUAUGUAUAGACGAUACAGUACCGAGUAUCUGUAUCGAAAAUCAAUUUCGGUUCUGUAUCUUGUAUCAGUAUCGGAAAUACAAUUUUUGAGGGUAUCGAGUAUCGGCAUCGAAGAUACUUUUUUGAAGUAUCUUGCCCAGCCCUGCCCAUUUCUCAAGCACUUACCUGUGUUUCCUUCCAAUGUUAAAAAUAUAUCCAACCCAAUGGGAUCCAGUUUAGCUCCAUGUCCUAUAAGUAGACACUCUGCAGUUUUCCAGAAACCAAUUUCACCUCAUUUGCUCAAUGCUUUCCCUACCAAACUCUUACAUUUCCCUGAAAUGCCGAUCUUCCAGGCACUUGCCGAUAUUUCUUUCCAAUGUUAAAAAUAUAUCCAACCCAAUGGGAUGCAGUUUAGGUCCAUAGCCCAUAAAUAGUCACUCUGUGGUUUUCCAGAAACCAAUUUCACCUCAUUUGCUCAAUGCUUUCCCUACCAAACUCUUACGUUUUGCUGAAACGCCAAUCUCCGAGGCACUUGCCGAUAUUUCUUUCCAAUGUUAAAAAUAUAUCCAACCCAAUGGGAUGCAGUUUAGAUCAAUAGCCUAUAGGUAGACACUCUGAAGUUUUCCAGAAACCAAUUUCACUUCAUUUACUCAAUGAUUUACUCACCCACCUCAUACAUUUCGCUGCAGGACCCAUUUUGGAAGCACUUGCCGAUAUUUCUUUCCAAUGUUAAAAAUAUUUCCAUUGCAAUGGGAUGCAGUACAGGUUCAUAGCCUAUAAAUAGACACUCUGUAGUUUAACAGAAACCAAUUUCACCUCAUUUGCUCAAUGCUUUCCCCACCCAGCUCUUACAUUUCUCUGCAGUACCCAUCUCCGAGGCACUUGCUGAUAUUUGUUUCCAAUGAUAAAAAUAUUUCCACCUCAGUGAGGUUUAGUUUCGGUCCAUAUCCAAGAAAAAGACACUCUGAAGCACUCCUGCAGUCCGUUUCUUCUCAUUCACUCCACUUUUUUAUUCACAGAGGCCUAAUUUUGAACACGCUGCUACUGUCCAGAGCAGCUUGAGCAAUUUCUUUCCCAUGUUAAAAAUAUUUCUUCCUCACACAGAUUGCAGAUAACUUCAUAUCCUAUAACUAGACAUCUCGAAGGAAUCCAAAAACAGAUUUCACAUCAUGUACUCAAUUCUUUCAUUACUAGCCUCACACAUUUUGCAUGCAUGGCCUACUUCUGAAGCACUUACCGGUGUUGUUUGCCAAUGUUAAGUAUAUUAGGUUAGGUUGAACCUCUACUGAGGUUGUGGAUAACUCCACAUACUAUAAGUAGAUAGGCUGAAGGGCUCCAAAAAUUAAUUUCAUUUCAUUCAAUUUUUUGUUAAAGGACGACAGAAACGAAAAUAGGCUGCAAAGCUAUUUGCCUCAUAUUGCGAUGUGUACCAAAACAAUCCGGAAUUCGACUUAGAUUUGCGUAUAUUAGUUGAAACGCCGCCACAAUCGCGAUAUAAAAUUCGGCCGUGGAGUACUCUGAGCCCCUGGUGAGCGUCGCCGCGCCGCCGUAGCAGACCACGGAAGUGACGCACGUUGGCUCUCCUGUUGGAGUUCCUGACUUUCAUUUCGCUUCAUUUCAUUUGGUGUUUCGGCGUACGUCUUAUUCCUGCUACGGGGAAAGAACGGAGACGAAGAAGCAUGUACGAACCCAUCUCUCAUAGGAUAUAUUGUCUUCAGACUUCCACAAGAUCUUCGAAUCAAACAUUUUCAGGCGUUAUUCAGAAUUCGCCGUGUUUGUGCCGGGCAGCCGCACAUGGAGCGCGAGAGAUAUUUGACGUCACGCGCUCCUCAGAUUUUCCCGCAAUGCUUGGCGCGCUCCAUAGGCGAUCGUGUCGAGUGGGCGGCCCAGCGCUCUCGUAAUCGUCAGAAAUAUGGCCAUCCGCACGGCGUACUUGCAAAAUACUAAUGGCACCAUAAUUUUACAUAAUAUUUACACCUUGUUCGGUCCCCUUUUUGCAAUGGACAAAUUUCGUUUCCGUUGUCCUUUAACAUAUUUGCAAAAUUUUUAAAAGACUGCUCGUGUCUGGAAGAAUUCGCAAAAUUUCUUUCUGUUAUUAAAAAUAUUUUCUCCCCACUGGGAUUGAAUUUAAUUGAAUAUCCUAUAAGUAGACAUUGUGAAGCAUUCCAGAAACACAUUUUAUGUCAUUUAUUGAAUUCUUUCAUUACUCAACUUGCACAUUCCAGGGCAGAUCUCCAAACCGCCUGCCAAUGUUUGUUUUCAAUGUUAAACAUAUUCUACGUUAGAUUCCAAAAAUCAAUUUCACUUAAUUUUUUCAAUCCUUUCAUCACUCUCCUCACACACUUCUCCUCAAUGCCCAUUUCUGAAGCAUUUGCCCAUGUCCCUUUCCGAUGUUAGGUACAAAUAUUUCUCCUCCACCGAGAUGCAAUUUAAGUCAAUGUACUAUAUGUAGCUAUUCUGAAGCAUUCCAGAAAUCAAUUUCACCUCAUUCACUUCAUUAUUUUAUUCACAGAUUGUGAAAAACAUUAUUUUAUAUUAUAUUUUACACAUUAUUUUACAUUAUUCAGUGGCCACAUUUUGAAAAUACGGCUCCGGUCUGGAGCAAUCAUCACUAAACUUGCACAUUCUAGUGACAAAUCUUUGGACCACUUGUCAAUGUUUCUUUCCAAUGCUAAAAAUAUUUCUACCUCACACAGAUUCAAGGUAAGUUCAUGAAGAAAAUAAUAUGAGGCACACCAGUGCAUGUAGAAAGAUGCACUUGAGUUUGGCUAAGAAAAGAAAGUUAACCACACACACACUGGGCUCAAACCAUCAGAUACUUUUAUGGACUUAGAAUUCAUAGAUAAAGAAAGUGUAAAAUUGGAAGGGGGAGUUCAGCAGAAGGCAUGCUGGUGCAUCAGAUUGCUGAUGUUGUCAGGAGACAAGCAUUGUGCAAGAGAAGCAGCAAUUAUUGACCCAUAAUUUCAUGUACAAUACUAGCGCACAUUAUCUAAAACCUAAAAUUCUGUUCCUCCUCCUCUCCAUAUCAACGCGGUAUUAGAAAAAAACAAUUGUUGUGAAACGCGGCUAGUUCCUUUGCUCAUGACUUUAGUGUUACACUGGAUCACACGUUCUGCACCGACUGCAGAUUUCUUGACUUCUCGAAGGCAUCCAAUAACGUAUCACACUCUCUCUUUUUUUUUUCUUUCUUUUUUUCAUAAAUUGCACAAUCUUGGCAUUGAUGAUAAAAUUCUAUCUUGGAUACAUUCCUUGACUAAUCGCUCACAGUUUGUCUCUAUGAACGAUAAUGAAUCCAGUCUAACGCUUGUCCUCUCUGGAGUUCGCCAAGAUUCUGUCCUUGGACCACUUCUCUUUCUCAUAUACAGUCAUUUUUCAUUAUCCAGACACCUCUGUAGUCGUCCGUUUUCAUCUGGAUACCAGAUAACUGAACCAAGCAAGCUUCCGGCAAAACCUUAAAUUUGAUACCCACGCCUACUCCCUGUGCCUUUUUUGUUUGUUCCCUGGCACAUGAAUUUUUACCAAUUUGAAAGUAAUUGCCACCAAACAGUCCCAUCUUUAGCCCUUUCUGGGAGAACCCGACAAGUUUGAAAAUCUCCUUUAUAGCUCCAGAAAAAGAAACAACAAAAAAGAUUGUUACUUUAAAAAAUCAUGCAAAGGGAGCUGAUUGCAAUUCAUAGUAAUGUGUGACAGAAUUCUGGUCACACCCACAGCAUGCACUGAGUCAACCUGCUAAUGUCUCAGAAAGUUGGUCUUCUUCCAGGGUAACCUGGACCAAGUCCUAUGGUAGCAGGCUCGUUCUCGGUAAUGCAAGUUUUCCAGAUAUGUGAAAUCCUGAUAAGCGAAACAUAACUAUACAUUAACGACCUUCCAAAUGAUCUUACAUCAGUGGUUUAUCCAGACUAGAGAUGAGUGCAGGUAUGAAAAUUCGUACCCGCAACUGCACCGCAACCGCGGGGGCACAACCUGCAUCUGCACCCGCACAUCCCGACGCCUAUCCGCUUAGCCGCCGAUAUACCCGCAGCCCAAUGCGUACGCAUGUUUCAGUUAUGUGACAUGAUCGUGACAGCACGAAAUGAUUUAUUGAUGCUACUAAGGAUACUGUCCGUUAGCGAGCCACUUUUCCAACGCGUACGCUGUGGCCACUGCUGACAUGGUUGCCAGCUUACUGAUGCGAAAUGUACCAGUCUUGGUGUAAAAAAUAGCCAAACUUAACCCUAUGUGGCAAACAACAACUUUAUUUUGAGAUGACGAGUUGGAUAUGGAACGUCUGGAAAGUAUUUUGGGCCAAAUGUUCGCCAUGAAUCGGGUAAUACACCAAAAUCCGACGGGUUGGUUUUGCGCCUGCGGGUAUUGCGGGCAUACCAGCGUAAUCCGCGGAGGUAGUGCGGGUCUACCCGCAACUUAACCGCGAUGACACCGAAAUGUGUACCCGCAAAGAACAAACUUGAGCGGGUACCCGCGGAUACCUGCACCGCGCUCAUCUUUAAUCCAGACCCCCCUCCCAGAAAAAAAAUAUCUGGAGGGGACACCCCCUAAGAUCUGGUGAGAUUGCACAAUAUUGAGUGACAAGCAUGUACAUGUGACGAAGGAACGGAGCGGUCAGUGAAUCGAGGAACGAACAUAUGUUUAUUGCGCGCGCUGCACCUCAUCUUUUAUACGUCACAUACAUAUACCCCCCCCCCAAAGGACCAAAUUCUGGGUAAAUCCACCUCAUUUUUGUCCUGAUGAUUGUGUCAUCUGUUGUCAGAUUACUACCAAUUCUGAUAUGGAAUUAUGUCCUUCACACUGACCACAUUAAGCUUUCUGGUGGUAUCAUACCUGCCACAUGCAACUUAUCAAAAUGUAAAUCUGUGAUAAUUUCUCGCUCUAAUAAAGUGCAUAUGACUUAUUCCAUUAAUAACAUUCCAUUUGAAUCAGUAUCACCACGGUCUCUGGGUAUCACUUCACAAAUACCUCAGCAUUUUCAUUUCAUCUAACCUGUCCUGGCUCCCUCAUGUUGAACACAUCACUACCAACGCAUUUCGAGCUCCAGGUUACAUCGCUGGUUUUUCAUCCACUCCAACUAACACAAUGAGUGACUGUAUAAAUCACUAGCCUUUCCUAAGUUGGAAGACACGGCUCUGUGUGGGAUACCGACCACACCAACAUUUCAAACUCGAUAGAAACAGUACAAUGCAAGGCAGCCUGUUCAUAUUUGGUAACUACAACGCCAGUAUCACUGCUAUGAAACAUAUCCUCCAUCUGCUUCUACUUUGCACUUGUCGAAAAAUAACUAGUCUUUGUUUCGACAAGAUUUAUUAUCAUUCAUAAUAAUCACCUCAGAGAAUCUUUGGUACAACAGCCUACAUAUAUCUCAUAUUGUGCCGAUCACCCGUAGAAAGUGGGUAUUCCCUUAUGCUCAAGGAAGUCAUUUCUGAAUUCAUUUUUUCCUCGUAUGUCGUUGUAGUGGAACCGCCUUCCCGGUACCAUCGUCAAGCGAUUCAAGAACUGGUUAUGUGUGUGUGUGUUUUCUUUCCACAUGUUGUACACUUGUGCUAUAUUUUUUGCUCUCUAAUUUUUUUUUUUUUUUUCACAUUCUUUUCAAUUCACUUUGUGCAGUUUUGUUCAUGUGGACCUAAUUUGGAAAUAUUUUUGUAUGCUACUUAUAUUAACAUCGUACCAAUUUUUAAUCCACUCCUGGCUCGAUGUAAAGAAAAACUAAAAUUGUGAAGCUAUAAACAAAAUACAGAA